UCUUCGCCAGAGUCAUGAUUUGUUGAAACACCAUUAAACCGCCAUCACCAGCAAGAAUCGACACCACCUGACCUCCAUGAUACUGCACCAUUAAAACCUCCCUCUUUAUUAUUCUCCUUCUUCUUUUUCUAAUCUUCAAUUUUGCUGUAACCCUAGUUUUCAAUUCGCCACAGACGAAACAGACAACCAAAUGGAUCAUUAAAAGGUUUCUGUUGCACUCUUCGAUUCAGUCAUUGGGGAUUCUUGAUCAUCAAAAAGUCAUUUGCAGAGGGUAUUCAGUAAGACAUUUCAAGUCAGACUCCAAACCAUCUUUUUCUUUUCUCCCUCACUCAUUUUCCUCCUCAAAACCCUUAAUGGCAUGUAAAAGAUUUUUCUUCACAGCCCUAAAGCAAAGAUUCUUUACAAAAAAAUUGUCCUUUAUCAUCACAUAAUGUUGUGUUUUCUUCUCCUUCAAUUAUAUUACCACCAAAACCAUUUUAUGAUUGGGGAAGAAGAAGUUUGAGUGACCUCGCUGACCUUGCUUUUCAAGGGGGUUUUCCUUAUGUUAAAGGAAUAUGUGAAGAGGGACUUGCAGAAAAAUACAUUGAUGCAUGGAACAAGACCGAACAAUGGUCAAUGAUCACUUUGCUUUUUGAGAAUUGGAAUGAGAGCAAUACAGCCAGUUUGAAUUCAUAUGACCACUAUUUAAGGGCGAACAUCAGAUGGUGCUUCGAUUGGAGAUCUUAUGGCAAUUAUUGAGCAUAUGAUUGAGCUGAACAUUGAACCAACCACGGCAUCAUACAACAUCAUUUUACAAGCUAUGUUUGAAUCGAAGGAUACUUCAGGUGUUGAGAAAUUGGUUACUAGAAUGGAGAAAACAGAAGAGUCGAUGCUUGAUGAUGAAUCAUAUGCGUUGAUUGCUGAGCUAUUUCUUGCAGCAGAUCAAAUUGAUAACGCCUGUCUAUGCAUAUACGUAGCUGUGAGAUCUGGCUGCAUGGUCCCAAUGCCAGUGUUUACCGAGUGUGUGAUUUGUGCUGUCCACCUAAAAAGAUUUGAUUUGUUGACAAGCAUUCUUCAAAAGUUCAUGAGGCUUUAGACGAGCAGAGAGCUCUACGCCUUCCAUGGGGCAUGUGUACCUUCAUCCUCGAGGCUUCUAUGAAAGAGGAUCAUACCAUGUUAACUUCGUGCAUAUUGGAAUAUUUAGAGCACAAGUAUAAUCUUCAGGAGUCAAUAGGUCGAAAGAAGGUCCUAAGUGCCGAAUAUUAUCUUGUCAAGAUCUAUGGUUAUUCAUCUUUAAAAGAGUUUGAAAAAGCUAUUACUACUCUUAAGGAGCUUGAGUCUUAAGUAUGGUGGUUCUGAUGAAAAUUUGUUCUGUCCCUUUACUUCUUUAUCCCCUCUUGUUAUCGCCUUAUCCAAGGGUGGUGUUGGGACAUUGGACUCGGUAUAUCAUCUAUUAGAGAAUCUAGGCCGAGCAAAGCCUUCUUAUAAAUCCGUUGCAGCUCUGAACUGCUUAAUAUUAGGAUGUGGAUAUGUGCACGACGUCCACCGCGCCCAUCAAACAUUUGAAGCCAUCCGCAAAGUAUUUGGAUUAGAACCUGAUACGAAUUCAUCUAAAGCUUUGAUGCAUGCAUUUGACAUCAUCAAAAUGACAUUCGCUGCUAUUAGAAGUGAAUUUAGAUUGACACCGGACGAUUGUUUACAUAGAGCUCACAUGCAUGCAUUUGGGGGGUCCACAACGGUGAAUAGUCUAAGGCUACCCAAAUCAAGUUGGAGAUCUGCGAGUGGAGUUGUCACAAAAUGAAGACGCUGAAAUCAUGCCACUGAAGGUGCAAGUCCAAGCCAUGACUCCUGCCUCGACUCUAAAAUUGUAACAGCAAUUAGCAAGGUUCCUUGUAGUUAACCAGGAUUCCGAAGAAGGGUUUCAUUUGCAAACUAUUUAGUUAACCAGGCACUUCAUCUUGCCUCUUAACAAUUGUGGAAAGUGAGAGCUUUCGAAUAGUAGGAUAGAAUAUGUUUUCAUACCUCUUAAUAGUUUUAUGGGACCAAUUUAUGUCUAGUGUUUUGGUACUGCAAUAACGUCUGUUGUGUUACUGUUCUGCUUUUAAAGAAAAUGAUGAUAGUUAUAAUAUGAA